rnacentral:lncRNA from 1 species
UAUCAAGGUUAUAAACAUGAAAGGCAAAGUCUGGAAGAGGUCUUGAUUUGGAGGUGAAAGAUACUGAAUUCUGUUUGGUCUCUAAGAUGGACAUAUUGAGCUUGAGAAGUUUCUGAUGUCUAACAUGUCUAUUGGAUAACUGAUGAUGCAGAGUUGAAGGCUGGAGUAGAGACAGAGACUGGAUAUAUCAACCUGGGAUGGCGGUGUGACCACAGCAACAGAGUAAAAAUAGGAGCAAAGCAGGGAACUUGGGACUUCCUGAUUGAGGGAGCCCAUUUCCGAAAGGACCUUGGACAGAGCACAGCGCUUCUAUGCUCCUUUUGGAAGACCCACCAAUCCUCACCUCCUGCAAUGAGCUCAUUCUUAAAGAGGAGGCAGCCUGCUUGGAAAAGAAGGCAGUCUUGUCAUGCUCAGAAUGACCUGCGCUACACCACACAGUGUCUGCUCCUGCAUAAUUUCUAUAGAAGUGAGAAAGAACAGCAGCAAAACAAUCAAGAUUGUGAAAUUAUAAAAAGACAAGCUUGGCUCCAGAGAAGAGAUAUGAGAAAGCACAUCAGAUUGCUUCUAUAAAAAGGGUUGAAGGACUACCUACUCCUUCUUCAAAACGUUUAUCAUCUUCUCCAUGAAGUCUUCUUUGCUUGACUUAGCCGUUGGUGAACUUUCCAUCCUUUAAGGUCUGUAGCACUUUUUUAUGAAUUAUUUGGCAUUUUACAUAUGUUAUCUUGUUUCAUUGCUUAUAUUCUAAUGGUAUUGUCCUUUUUCAUUAGCUAGGUUAUAAGCCCCAGUAUGUUAAGGUCUUUGUUUUAUAAAUUAACAAAUAUAUUAAUUUUUAAUUAAUAUUUUAAGUUAAAUUAAUUUUAAAUAACUAAGAAAAAGCAAAACAUUUAUUGAACACUUACUAUGUGUGAAACAAUAUGCUAAAUGCUGGAGGUAAAUAUAGGAAUGUCAGAGACAUCCUGCUUUUAAG